CUUCUGAGAGGAGCUGUCCGCCCUCACUCUGCCAAACCUCCGCCUGAAACACGACGAAGAUGUCGCUGGAUCCGGAGUGAACGUCCGCUGAAUAGUCGUCUUUAAAUUCACUCCAGCGCCGUGUAACAUUGACGAGCCCAAUGCACACAAUGUUCGGACGCUACUUGGAUAUUUUCGCACCCUUAAUCAUCUGUUGUUUUAUCAUCUGCUUUGUGACCUUGUGCUGCUUGUGCUGCAAGAGGUGUCGGAAAAGAGGAAACCAAAAUGUGAACGCCACCUUAGUCUACACACCACCCCAGCAGCCACUCCCCCCCUCUGGAUAUCAGCCAUGCUACCCAGGCUUCCAGCCUGUACCUGUCUAUGGAGGAUAUGGAGGCCCGCCCAUCACUGCAGGACCACCACCCUCAUACUUGGAAGCUGUCUUUUCAGGUGAUCCACCUCUGUUCCCAGCUGCAUCCGGUCCACCACAGCCGAUGUACCCCUACCCCUACCCCGGGCCACCUUAUGCACCGCCACCACCACGGUCAGAUGAACUGGCACAGCCGGCCUACAACCCCACUUAUGGUCCAGUCCCCUAAAACCAGCUCACUAGACCGAAACACUCCUUGUUUUAAAAACCCCGGUAGCACCACUGUUCUCACCGGAAUGUGAAAUGUGUGGCUUGUGUUGUUUUGAUACAGUGGAAACUCCCAUCUGAAUGAAAUACAGCAUAUCUCAGGAAUAUAUAUAUGAAAAUAUUUACAUAUAUUGUGUAUUUAAACCAGUAAAAUUCAUCACUUUAUCUUUCAGUGUAGACCCAUGUGAACACGAGCUUCAGGAUUGGCCAUUUGUCAGGACCAAGUUGUGGCGCUGUCAGAUGGACUGAAAUUGUAGCGAAGUUAUGAUGCCCCCUGUUGUGAUAAACCCCAGCAGCCACUAGAGGUCACCUCUGCCUCAGGGUUAUUCUCUUUAGACAGAGAGGGGCACAGAGUGGCUGAACGUUGUUUGCUGCAUGCAGGUGCCAGGUUGUGGUAUCAGUUUUUUAUUGUUACUUUGUAAAAGCCUAGUUUACUGUUUACUAAGUGAGUAGUUAAUUACUGAUAAAUGAAUAUUCAAGUAUUUAAAAAUCUUAAUUAAAGGUGCACUAUCCAGUUUUAGGGUGAACUUGGAAUCAGAGGAGAAAAAUCAUCAUUAUUUUAAUAAUUAAUUUUAACUGAAUAAACUGUUUUAAGACAAUUUCAUGGUAUUACAUUGUUCAUAUGUGCAAUAGGCUUCUAGCUAUGUUUUUAGCUUCACACAGUGUUCUGGGGACCUUAUUACCCCUCUGUCAAAGACUUAUACAUCAAAUACAUAUUUCUUACUGAUAUUGUGAAUGUUACUUUAAUUUGAAUUUCUUUCCUUUUAUCACCAAAACUACAUAGUGCACCUUUAAACAGCAUAAAAGCUUAGCAAAGGUUCAGCAGUGAUGUAAUAAGUAAGUAAGUUAAGCUCAAAACAUUCCAAAGUGUCUAGAGAGUGCAAACAAGUGUUUUUUAAAAGAGCUCAAAAUGUCUUAUAAUCUACAAAAAUCUGUGUAUUAUGCAGUGGAUUUUGUUCAUUGGCAUCUUAUAAAGAUGUUAAGGGGCCUUAUAACAAUUAACUAACACCAACACUUUCAAGGACUUUAAUACAAAGUGUCGCCACUGGGAAUUCUUGUUUCUUCCACUGCAUCAAAGCAAUGGAGACGUUUACUACCUUUGCUCCUUAAACUCACUUCUGGUAAACUUAGUUUGUUACAAAACCUGUAAAGUCGCAACUCACUGUCACGCCUGCAGUGAGGACAAAACCACCGGGCUCUGCUCAGUUUAGCCUCUUCCUGUGGGAUCACAUGCAGAUAAAUAGCCAUGGUGGGUGUGCUCACAUUUAAUCCCAUAAUAACCAGCGCCGCUCCCUCUUACAGCAUCCCACACUAUCCAUUAAUCAAUACAGUAAUAGUGCUGACUGUGGCUGUCUCAGUGAUCGUAGCGACCGGGGGGGGGGGGCUAUAACAGGAGAAAUGACCCUGCCCGUACGUACCGCUCCCUGCUCCAACAUCUAAAAUAAGAUCUCUCUCUCCUUGAAGUGCGGCUCGGACUGCUAAUGAGCACUGGUGUCGGGAUGCCCGUGUCAUGGACCAUGUGGCAAAUAAUCUUUACAGCCAGUUCUCCUCCUCUCCAUCCCUUUCUUCUCCUCUCUUUCCCUUUCUUCCAUCCCUCCCUCUGACCAGGCUUUGUUCUGUCUAAAGGCAUUUUUGUCUGGCCUCCUGCCCGAGCUGCCAUUAAGAUGUUUUCAGCAUUUUCUCGACGUCCCACACCAUUCCUCGCGUCUCUUCCCCUUUUUCUGUUCUGCUCAGAGGAAUCCCUUCUGGCAUUUACCGCAUGUAUCUCAUAUCAGAGAUCAAGAACAGACACGAUGCACGUCAGAAGUCAGCCUUUAUUGAUGAGAUUUUAAAUAGUGGGCUCUGCUUGCAGUGUGUGGGAGCACAAACUCCCUAAUGCGUGACAUCGCUCCUGCCAAGAUGCUCCUAGGAGAUACAAGCAUGCUGAACUCUCCCACACGCUCGGAUGGAAACACAAACAGACCGGACAGCAUUAUUCAUGUUUUGUUAUUUUUUUUAAAAAAUGUGCUCCAUCACCAAAGGUUGAGUGUUAAGAAAAAAAAAGUUUACAACAUUAUUUAUAUUUGAUAUUUUUACUGUCUUUUACCAUUUAACAUGUUUCUACUGACAUACAGAUAUUCUUUCCAAUAUGAGCCAUUACACUACCAAGAUUCUCUCUAGUGUUGUGUCUGUUGUGCUGUUAUUGUGAAGUUAUCUGUCCACGUUUGGACUGUUAUACAAAUGUUAUUUCAUUUUGCUGCCCCUUUUGAUCAGGACAAAUGAAGGUUUGACUCUGAUGAUCCUUAGACUUUCAUUUUUGUGCCACCAGCAGAUUGAAAUUUGUAUUUUUAGCAAAAUGUCCUGAUAACUUUUGGAAGUAUUUCCAUUAUAUUGGAUAUUCAUAUUCAUGGACAUGUUCUUUAUUUUUGUGUUAUUGUUUUUUGUUUUUUUUUUCUAAAUCUUCUUUAAUAUAUGACUUCUAUUUUUCUAUUGUGUAUUAGAUAAUUGUACAUUGUUAUGUGUAAUGUUGCUGUUUCUGUAAUCUGCCACAGGACUACUGAAGGACAUUUGCUAAGUUAUGUUUACAUCGCAUGUUUGUAAUGAUGUUCAUUAACUUGUUCUGUCUCCUUCAAAUAGACAAAUAAAACAAUAUAACAGUAAAACAA